GACGAACGCUGGCGGCGUGCCUAAUACAUGCAAGUCGAGCGGACGGAUGGGAGCUUGCUCCCAGACCGUCAGCGGCGGACGGGUGAGUAACACGUGGGCAACCUGCCUGUAAGACUGGGAUAACUCCGGGAAACCGGGGCUAAUACCGGAUAACUCUUUCCCUCCCAUGAGGGAAAGCUGAAAGAUGGCAUCUCGCUAUCACUUACAGAUGGGCCCGCGGCGCAUUAGCUAGUUGGUGAGGUAACGGCUCACCAAGGCGACGAUGCGUAGCCGACCUGAGAGGGUGAUCGGCCACACUGGGACUGAGACACGGCCCAGACUCCUACGGGAGGCAGCAGUAGGGAAUCUUCCGCAAUGGACGAAAGUCUGACGGAGCAACGCCGCGUGAGUGAUGAAGGUUUUCGGAUCGUAAAACUCUGUUGUCAGGGAAGAACAAGUACCGGAGCAACUGCCGGUACCUUGACGGUACCUGACCAGAAAGCCACGGCUAACUACGUG
rnacentral:rRNA from 1 species